AUUCAGUUGACGAGUCCCAAAUAGGACAAAAAGCGUUUCCUGGAU
rnacentral:hammerhead_ribozyme from 1 species